ensembl:snoRNA
AUGCAUCCACUGAUAGACCUGAGGCACGUUUCUUUGGCUUCUAGGUUUGCAUAGAGAUGCUAAACUAAACCAUCCUUGUACUUUUUGACUGCUACCUUCAAUAGCAGCACAGAUUGAAUUGAGGAAAACAUUU